GAGAGGAAAAACUCACAAAGUGAGAGCA
rnacentral:piRNA from 1 species